ensembl:lncRNA
CCUUUGGGUUGAUGCUGAGUACUUGUCUGAAUACUCAUUCUCCGCAUGGCCUUCUGCAGAUCUGAGGGGCUUAUCCAAUUCCCUAGAAGAUGAUCUAGGUUCUUUGUUUCCUCCAUGUGCAGCAUAUAUUGCUUACCCUGAGAAACAAAAAGCUAUCGAUCGGUGCUGGUGAUACACACAGAGAGAAAACCAUUUUUUGUAGCCUUCGACAUGUAUGGAAAACAGCCUGGCCUUGAAUUGAUUCCAUACUGUUGGUCUUAGAUAAAUUAAAUUGUUCAAUGACAGGAUGCUUCUUAUGGAUCCAUUAAUUUAUUAAGAAAUAUAUUUAAAAAAUGCAGUUCAAGCAUGCAAUAUUUUGAGUGCAUCUAGUCAGUGAUAUAUUAACUUUUUGAUCACACUUUCUUUUAAGGUCCAAUUCUCGCUAUUAACAAACCAGUAACCAUUGAGACUUUUGCCUCAAACUCCUAAUUUGUUGCUUAGGGCAGUUGUUAAUUUUAGGUAAUGGGAAGGAUUAGGGAUGUAGAAUAUGGUCAUGCAGAAUAUGUGCUUUAUAAGUAUAAUAAACAGCCAAUAUGUUAAUAAUAGGCAUGCUAAUAAACAACUAAGAAUUGGUCCCUAUACUAAAGUGUUACCAACUUUUAAUUUGUAAAAUGUCAUAUGGUGUGAAAUUUCUGAUAAUCAUUAUAUUCGUAACUUACCUUAAAAAUUGUGUGUAUACGUGUAUAAAAUAUAAUUUUCAAAACCAUUACAUGAAACCAACAUGAAUACAGAAAAGUUCUACAUUUCUAUGUUUUAAAGUAGAUAUUUAAAAGAUUUUUCAGAUAUGGUUAUUUUUGGACAGGGCCUCUCUUUCCUUGACAGUGAUGCUGACUUCAAUAAGAGCUCCAGUGAUUGUGAACAAAGCUGAGUCUUGGCCCAGAGGCCUCAGCUCCCAUGACUGUAUGACUCCUGCAGUAAUGUGAAGGCAUAGAAUGCAUUCAUCUUAAAGGAGAUGCUGUGGGUCUCUGCGUCAUAGGAUGCCUCAGAAAUGCAGUCUGCCCACCAGUGCUGACCUGCAGAAACAGGAUCCCAACGUGCCACAUGUGGAUCCUCCAGAAACAAUGUUGAGUCAGGCAGAGCUACAGUGACCCCUACAGACAGUGAGGCAACAGUGCUACUGUGUUCAUCCAGCCGCACUGAGACUGUCCUAGAUUACAUCCAAAGAUGUACCUCUCUCAUUUCCCAGCCCUUCACUAUGUGAAGACUGAGGUGGUAGAUGGAGCACAUCAAAGUAGUAGACUCCGCCCAGGGGUGUGAACUGCUGCAGGUCCACUAUAUGCACGUCAGCACGGUCAAUCACAGGUUCAGCUGGUGAUGAGUCAGAACCAUUUUGAUCUAGAGACAAGUUAUCAGAAGCUAGCAAUUGCAGUGAUACAUAAUAUAUCACAUGAAAG